ensembl:snRNA U6 U6 spliceosomal RNA
GUGCUCAUUUUGGCAGCACAUAUACUAAAACUAACUGGAAUCAUACAGAAAAGAUUAGAAUGGCCCCUGCAAGAGGAUUAUACCUAAAGUUGUAAAGUGGCUGCAAGCUGU